AGAGUUUGAUCAUGGCUCAGGACGAACGCUGGCGGCGUGCCUAACACAUGCAAGUCGAACGAGGCCACUCCUUCGGGAGUGAGUCGAGUGGCGGACGGGUGAGUAACACGUGAGCAAUCUACCUUUGUGCGGGGGAUAACCCAGGGAAACUUGGGCUAAUACCGCAUGGACAAGAGAUCCGAGUGGGUUUUUUGGGAAACGUGGCCUCUUAACAAUGCUACGGUGCAAGGAGGAGCUCGCGGGCUAUCAGCUAGUUGGUGAGGUAACGGCUCACCAAGGCAGCGACGGCUACGGGGUCUGAGAGGACGACCCCGCACAUUGGAACUGAGACACGGUCCAGACUCCUACGGGAGGCAGCAGUGGGGAAUUUUGGGCAAUGGCCGAAAGGCUGACCCAGCGACGCCGCGUGCGGGAUGAAGGCUUUCGGGUCGUAAAACUCUGUUGUUAGGGAAGAACAAGUACGAGAGUAACUGCUCGUACCUUGACGGUACCUAACCAGAAAGCCACGGCUAACUACGUGCUAGCAGCCGCGGUAAUAC
rnacentral:rRNA from 1 species